GAUGAACGCUGGCGGCGUGCUUAACACAUGCAAGUCGAGCGGGCAAUUUAUCUAGCACUGAUUACUUCAAAUGGAAAUCAUAAGUGUAAUCAUGAAUUUCUACCUUUAAUAAAGAAAAAAGAAAUUCAUGUACGCAAAUAGUGAUAACACAUGAAAGAGGAGUGAUGAGUGCUGGAUAAAUUGCUAGCGGCGGACGGGUGCGUAACACGUGGGUAACCUGCCCCUAUCACUGGGAUAACACACUGAAAAGUGUGCUAAUACCAGAUAAUAUAAGCUUUUGGCAUCAUUAGCUUAUCAAAGAAUUUCGGAUAGGGAUGGGCCCGCGUCUGAUUAGCUAGUUGGUGAGGUAACGGCUCACCAAGGCAACGAUCAGUAGCCGACCUGAGAGGGUGAUCGGCCACACUGGAACUGAGACACGGUCCAGACUCCUACGGGAGGCAGCAG
rnacentral:rRNA from 1 species